GAAAUGCGAUAAGUAGUGUGAAUUGCAGAAUUCAGUGAAUCAUCGAAUCUUUGAACGCACAUUGCGCCCUUUGGUAUUCCAAAGGGCAUGCCUGUUCGAGCGUCAUUUGUACCCUCAAGCUUUGCUUGGCGUUGGGCGUCUUGUCUCUAGCUUUGCUGGAGACUCGCCUUAAAGUAAUUGGCAGCCGGCCUACUGGUUUCGGAGCGCAGCACAAGUCGCACUCUCUAUCAGCAAAGGUCUAGCAUCCAUUAAGCCUUUUUUCAACUUUUGACCUCGGAUCAGGUAGGGAUACCCGCUGAACUUAAGC
rnacentral:misc_RNA from 1 species